AUUGAACGCUGGCGGCAGGCCUAACACAUGCAAGUCGAGCGCGAAAGGCCUUCGGGCUGAGUAGAGCGGCGGACGGGUGAGUAACGCGUAGGAAUCUACCCGGUAGUGGGGGACAACUUGGGGAAACUCAAGCUAAUACCGCAUACGCCCUAAGGGGGAAAGCGGGGGACCUUCGGGCCUCGCGCUAUCGGAUGAGCCUGCGUAGGAUUAGCUAGUUGGUGAGGUAAAGGCUCACCAAGGCGACGAUCCUUAGCUGGUCUGAGAGGAUGAUCAGCCACCCUGGGACUGAGACACGGCCCAGACUCCUACGGGAGGCAGCAGUGGGGAAUAUUACGCAAUGGGGGCAACCCUGACGCAGCCAUGCCGCGUGUGUGAAGAAGGCCUUCGGGUUGUAAAGCACUUUCAAUGGGGAAGAAAAGCGUACUGUUAAUAGCGGUGCGCCGUGACGUUACCCAUAGAAGAAGCACCGGCUAACUCCGUGCCAGCCGCCGCGGUAAUAC
rnacentral:rRNA from 1 species